rnacentral:rRNA from 1 species
UACAGAGGGUGCAAGCGUUGUUCGGAAUUAUUGGGCGUAAAGGGCGCGUAGGCGGUGCCACAAGUCACCUGUGAAAUCCCCGGGCUCAACCCGGGAACUGCGUCCGAUACUGGCAGGCUUGAAUCCGGGAGAGGGAUGCGGAAUUCCAGGUGUAGCGGUGAAAUGCGUAGAUAUCUGGAGGAACACCGGUGGCGAAGGCGGCAUCCUGGACCGGCAUUGACGCUGAGGCGCGAAAGCCAGGGGAGCAAAGCGGG